rnacentral:misc_RNA from 1 species
AAAGUCCGACGCAGAGCACUGUAAAGCAGACAGCAAAUGGGAUUUCCGUACGCCACGCGGAUUUUAAUAUUAUUGGAACUGAAUAAGCAGAAAGAGAUUCAAAAAAAGUGUAGCAUUCACAAACGUGAUCUUUAUCAUUUUGUGAUCUGCCAAUCGUCUGAUGGAAAGACUUGAAAUUUUUACGAUUCUCAACAUUUUCAGCUGUAGACAAACCUAGAACUGACCAAAAUUUUCGAUGACCAAAGGAAUACAACAGUAUUCAAUAUACGACACUCAACUCAAUGCCAGAUACCAAGAGACUACAGGGAAGAGGGACCUUACAAUGUAUACCUCACAAGACUUAGUCUUGCAUUUCAACAAGCACCAGAGAAAUGCUGUAAACUAAGGACUUAUGACCAUUAGACGUAGUCUUUUUGUCAGACAGGCUGUAAGAGAAAAACAGCAUUCUUCUUAGAGCAAUAUAACAAUCAGUUAAUUUUUUUUUACAAAUAUAUUUCUUUGUUUAUUUUACGACUUUUGUUUCAACUUUACAAAAAAAAAACAUCUGUGCAAGACAGAAAAUACAAAGAGGAAACUUGAUACAUGUGAUCCGGCGGAUGUCAACAUGCAAUAACGAUAUUACGCAAUUUAAUCGUCAGGUCCAUGCUGUUAUGGAGUAUUAAAUAACAUUUAGCAGCCUUUAUAUACAAGGCAUCGACAUUACGUGCACCAAGCCAGUAAAACCCUACAAAUGUUUGUAAUAGAAUAUCAUAAAACUAUGUCC